rnacentral:rRNA from 1 species
UGGGGAAUUUUGGACAAUGGGCGAAAGCCUGAUCCAGCAAUGCCGCGUGUGUGAAGAAGGCCUUCGGGUUGUAAAGCACUUUUGUCCGGAAAGAAAUCCUUGGCUCUAAUACAGUCGGGGGAUGACGGUACCGGAAGAAUAAGCACCGGCUAACUACGUGCCAGCAGCCGCGGUAAUACGUAGGGUGCAAGCGUUAAUCGGAAUUACUGGGCGUAAAGCGUGCGCAGGCGGUUUGCUAAGACCGAUGUGAAAUCCCCGGGCUCAACCUGGGAACUGCAUUGGUGACUGGCAGGCUAGAGUAUGGCAGAGGGGGGUAGAAUUCCACGUGUAGCAGUGAAAUGCGUAGAGAUGUGGAGGAAUACCGAUGGCGAAGGCAGCCCCUGGGCCAAAUACUGACGCUCAUGCACGAAAGCGUGGGGAGCAAACAGGAUUAGAUACCCUGGUAGUCCACGCCCUAAACGAUGUCAACUAGUUGUUGGGGAUUCAUUUCCUUAGUAACGUAGCUAACGCGUGAAGUUGACCGCCUGGGGAGUACGGUCGCAAGAUUAAAACUCAAAGGAAUUGACGGGGUCAUAGCUGUUUCCU